AACCUCGUGCCGUCAUCCCAUUGGUCAAUUCUGACAUAAAGCAUUCAGCUCUGCCAGAGGGUCCGCAAAUCUGAGCCUCUAUCCUCCCGGCCGAUCCCUUGUCCACGGCUACCCGACCCCUGGAAAUCGGAACCGGCUACCCGACCCCUGGAAAUCAGAACCGCAGCGUCACCAUCUCAGAAUUCCCGGCGUCGACGCGGUGGGACUCUUAGUUCCUGGUGGUGGAUCGUAGAGUGCGGGCAGGAAGCCAAAUUUCCUAUUUGCUCCUGGGAAGACUUUUCUGUGACUACCUCCUCUGCCCUGUCUGGCUCCUCCCUCGCAGUCCAGGUAAAAGGUCAUCUUGUAUUACUUUUCUAAUAAAACCCGUUUUUAUUUCAUUGCCUCUUCCAGCAUCUUCUCUGACACCUCCAGCUCGAACCCAGCCGAAGUAUCUUCCGAGAGCCUUCUGUGAUGUUCUCAGCUUAGGGCCAUCCCUUCCUCAUUUCAUCCUCUGAAUCCGGCAAACGCCUAGCAACUCUCCUAGGAAAUGUGUCUCCUAAGGCUGAAUGCAAAUGUGAAAAAAUAAUAGUGUGCAACAAUUAAGGAAUCCACACACCUUCUCUCAAGCCAGACCUGGGUCAUUUCUGGCAAAUGUGAUGAGAAUACAACCAUCACCACCAAAAAACCCCACAAA